GAUGAACGCUGGCGGCGUGCCUAAUACAUGCAAGUCGAGCGAACAGACGAGGAGCUUGCUCCUCUGACGUUAGCGGCGGACGGGUGAGUAACACGUGGAUAACCUACCUAUAAGACUGGGAUCACUUCGGGAAACCGGAGCUAAUACCGGAUAAUAUAUUGAACCGCAUGGUUCAAUAGUGAAAGGCGGUUUUGCUGUCACUUAUAGCUGGAUCCGCGCCGCAUUAGCUAGUUGGUAAGGUAACGGCUUACCAAGGCAACGAUGCGUAGCCGACCUGAGAGGGUGAUCGGCCACACUGGAACGGUGACACGGUCCAGACUCCUAAGGGAGGCAGCAGUAGGGAAUCUUCCGCAAAGGGCGAAAGCCUGACGGAGCAACGCCGCGUGAGUGAUGAAGGUCUUCGGAUCGUAAAACUCUGUUAUUAGGGAAGAACAAAUGUGUAAGUAACUAUGCACGUCUUGACGGUACCUAAUCAGAAAGCCACGGCUAACUACGUG
rnacentral:rRNA from 1 species